rnacentral:rRNA from 1 species
GCGAAAGCGACGUUCAACCGCAAAACAAGCAGAGGGGGCUUAGUGGUGGGGUGACUGCGUACCUUUUGUAUAAUGGGUCAGCGACUUAUAUUCUGUAGCAAGGUUAACCGAAUAGGGGAGCCGGAGGGAAACCGAGUCUUAAUUGGGCGUUAAGUUGCAGGGUAUAGACCCGAAACCCGGUGAUCUAGCCAUGGGCAGGUUGAAGGUUGGGUAACACUAACUGGAGGACCGAACCGACUAAUGUUGAAAAAUUAGCGGAUGACCUGUGGCUGGGGGUGAAAGGCCAAUCAAACCGGGAGAUAGCUGGUUCUCCCCGAAAGCUAUUUAGGUAGCGCCUCGUGAAUUCAUCUCCGGGGGUAGAGCACUGUUUCGGCUAGGGGGCCAUCCCGGCUUACCAACCCGAUGCAAACUGCGAAUACCGGAGAAUGUUAUCACGGGAGACACACGGCGGGUGCUAACGUCCGUCGUGAAGAGGGAAACAACCCAGACCGCCAGCUAAGGUCCCAAAGUCAUGGUUAAGUGGGAAACGAUGUGGGAAGGCCCAGACAGCCAGGAUGUUGGCUUAGAAGCAGCCAUCAUUUAAAGAAAGCGUAAUAGCUCACUGGUCGAGUCGGCCUGCGCGGAAGAUGUAACGGGGCUAAACCAU